rnacentral:rRNA from 1 species
GUCCACACCGUAAACGAUGAGUGCUAGUUGUCUGCAGGCAUGCCUGUAGGUGACGCAGCUAACGCAUUAAGCACUCCGCCUGGGGAGUACGGCCGCAAGGUUAAAACUCAAAGAAAUUGACGGGGGCCCGCACAAGCGGUGGAGCAUGUGGUUUAAUUCGAAGCAACGCGCAGAACCUUACCUACGCUUGACAUGCCCGGACGAUUUCCAGAGAUGGAUCUCUCCCUUCGGGGCCGGUGCACAGGUGCUGCAUGGCU